AAGGAGAAGUCGUAACAAGGUUUCCGUAGGUGAACCUGCGGAAAACGAAUCUGACUCCUGCCUCGGUGCAUUGCAUCGUGUCGGCGAGUGUAUUCGAUAAGUCAUAACGACUCUCGGCAACGGAUAUCUCGGCUCUCGCAUCGAUGAAGAACGUAGCAAAAUGCGAUACGUGGUGUGAAUUGCAGGAUCCCGUGAACCAUCGAGUUUUUGAACGCAAGUUGCGCCCGAAGCCUUUAGGCCGAGGGCACGUCUGCCUGGGCGUCACGCACCGUUGCCCCCCAAACCCCCUCAGUCCUCCACGGAGGAUUGGCGAGGCGCGUGGGGGGCGUAAAGUGGCUUCCCGUCGGCUUUGUCCCGCGGUUGGCCUAAAAAUGAAUCCCUAGCCGCGGUGCGCGCGGCAUUCGGUGGUCAUCGAUCCCUUUCGUUACCCCGCCGCGCGCUCACGUGCCGCGAAGGAUGUCACACUAGUAAACCCGACGCCUCGCUUUGUGAAGAGCGGAGCUUACAACGCGACCCCAGGUCAGGCGGGGCUACCCGCUGAA
rnacentral:rRNA from 1 species